CCUACGGCCACAAGGGGUACAUGAACCAUCCGCAAAAAUUGAAAAAAUGGCAAGAAAACAAUGAAAAGCCACGCCCUUUAGAUAUGCUUACUCAAAUGUUGUGGGGGCUGAGGAAUGCACCGGCACCGUUGCAUGGGCAUUCACCUGCUCUGCCGUUCCUACACUUAUCCCCGUUCCACUCGCAACCAAUUUCAGCGGUGGUGCUUCACUCGCGACGGUUUUCGGUAAGGGCGGAGCGCGGACGUCGCGGCAUGGUCCGCUGUCGGGUGCUCACCAGGAGCGCGCCUUUUCUACUUCCGGGACAGCACCGGGCGCUAAGCCAAAGUGCGGUGCCUAGUGCUCGCGUGAGGUCGUGCCACUUAUAGGAGGCCCAAGCCAAAGGAGAUUGCCCCAGCCCUCACGAUUUGGCCCACUGGUCAUUGCAAGAGCAAAUAGCAUAGCCGCCGGAACUUUUCCUAGCGGCAUGUCCCGGUGGGAGCCUUAGCUCUUGUGCCAACUUCUAUAGGUGCCCCUGUCUGUAUUUUCGCCCUUGCUGCGGAUUUCCAUGAACCCCUGAGACGACCAGGCAUUUGUGCAGUGUUGGGUGCCACCGGAGACAAUAAACGGUUUCCGCCA
rnacentral:lncRNA from 1 species